rnacentral:rRNA from 1 species
CCCUUAGAUGUCCUGGGCCGCACGCGCGUUACACUGAUGCAUUCAACGAGCUUAUAACCUUGGCCGAGGGGCCUGGGCAAUCUUGUUAACGUGCAUCGUGAUAGGGAUAGAUUAUUGAAAUUAUUAAUCUUGAACGAGGAAUUCCUAGUAAACGCAGAUCAUCAAUCUGCAUUGAUUACGUCCCUGCCCUUUGUACACACCGCCCGUCGCACCUACCGAUUGGAUGGUCCGGUGAAGCCUCGGGAUUGUGGUUCUUGCCGCUUUGUUGUGGCGUGACCGCGAGAACUUGUCUAAACCUUAUCAUCUAGAGGAAGGUGAAGUCGUAACA